rnacentral:rRNA from 1 species
UGGGGAAUCUUGGACAAUGGGCGCAAGCCUGAUCCAGCCAUGCCGCGUGGGUGAAGAAGGCCUUAGGGUUGUAAAGCCCUUUCAGUCGUGACGAUGAUGACGGUAGCGACAGAAGAAGCCCCGGCUAACUCCGUGCCAGCAGCCGCGGUAAUACGGAGGGGGCAAGCGUUGUUCGGAAGUACUGGGCGUAAAGCGCGCGUAGGCGGGCUGUUAAGUCGGGGGUGAAAUCCCGGGGCUCAACCCCGGAACUGCCUUCGAUACUGGCAGCCUAGAGGUCGGUAGAGGCUAGUGGAAUGGCGAGUGUAGAGGUGAAAUUCGUAGAUAUUCGCCGGAACACCAGUGGCGAAGGCGACUGGCUGGACCGUAUCUGACGCUGAGGUGCGAAAGCGUGGGGAGCAAACAGGAUUAGAUACCCCUGUAGUCC